GUCAAAAUGAACACGAGGAAACUACGUUGGGAGUCUGAAGAAGUCUGCGUCAGUAGGACGCAGACAAGGGACAAGUGGACAAGGCGAGGGCAGAAUUUAAAGUUUAGCGCUGAGACAGAAUGAAAAAGGGAACCUCGAAAAGAAAAACGAGCAGCCAGAUCGCCGAACAGUCCUCAGUUUCCGUCCCCAGCUGGUCUCACUUUCGGAGUAUCCCAAAGGCCCGGGUCUCGGGCCAGCUUCCCCGCCCCCGUGACGCCUCCUCCUGCGCCUGGCCUCGGAACAGCCUGGGCGAGCAAAGAGCGGGGAGUGGAGGUUUGGAGACCUCUCCCGCGACUUUGCGCCCUUGCUGCCUCCCGCAGCCUUCUCUCUGGGUCUCCCUGCGAGUCAGGAGAGCACACUCGCAAGUUUCUCCCUGCAACAAGAGUGCCCUCCUUGGAACAACUUGAGAGGGGACUGAAGCCUUUUGCCAUCAGCUAACAGGCCCAAGCCAAAAAUAACCCUGGAAAGGCGAGCUGAGAAUUGUUAUCUUCUGCCAGCGGUAAAAUUGGAGGCUGGGCGCUGAGUGUGCGUGUGUGUGUACACCCACCACGACCAUUUGUUGCAGGGAAUCACACACUGUCAGGCCCUCCAAUCCCCAGGACCCACCCCAACCAUCCACUUUCCCAGACUCUUGAGAGGUUAGAACACUUUGCAAUGUGGAAACUUGUUUGUUUGUUGUGGGGGUUUCAAAAGCAGAAACACAGGCACACAAUUUUUUACUCUUCUUGACCUCACCCCCUCUGCCCAACUCCUCCUUAGAAACAGGCUCGCCUCACACUGUAUCUGUUGAACCCUUCUCUGGAUUAAUCGUUGUCAUUAGGAAGAGGCUAAACCUCUUUUAAUGCCCUGCCAAGAAUGCAUGAACAAAACCAAAUUAAACAAGAACUAGGUCCCAGGUGCUAUGCUAUGCUGGUACUAUGCCAAGUCCUUCUGCAUGCAUCCUCCCAUCCUGCGGAUGGCAAUUUUCUACCUUCUUCCCAUAAAGCUCACCUAAAAUAUAAAACCAAAGAGAAAGUAUAAGUGAAAAGAGAAGGGGUUAAAAAUAAAACCCAAGGAGGGAAGAAACUUUUUUUUGCUUGUAUCUAUCAUCCAUGGGACAUUUUUGUACCAAG
rnacentral:lncRNA from 1 species